AGGGAUCAUUACCGAGUUUACAACUCCCAAACCCAAUGUGAACCAUACCAAACUGUUGCCUCGGCGGGGUCACGCCCCGGGUGCGUCGCAGCCCCGGAACCAGGCGCCCGCCGGAGGGACCAACCAAACUCUUUUCUGUAGUCCCCUCGCGGACGUUAUUUCUUACAGCUCUGAGCAAAAAUUCAAAAUGAAUCAAAACUUUCAACAACGGAUCUCUUGGUUCUGGCAUCGAUGAAGAACGCAGCGAAAUGCGAUAAGUAAUGUGAAUUGCAGAAUUCAGUGAAUCAUCGAAUCUUUGAACGCACAUUGCGCCCGCCAGUAUUCUGGCGGGCAUGCCUGUCCGAGCGUCAUUUCAACCCUCGAACCCCUCCGGGGGGUCGGCGUUGGGGACCUCGGGAGCCCCUAAGACGGGAUCCCGGCCCCGAAAUACAGUGGCGGUCUCGCCGCAGCCUCUCCUGCGCAGUAGUUUGCACAACUCGCACCGGGAGCGCGGCGCGUCCACGUCCGUAAAACACCCAACUUCUGAAAUGUUGACCUCGGAUCAGGUAGGAAUACCCGCUGAACUUAAGGAUAU
rnacentral:rRNA from 1 species